rnacentral:rRNA from 1 species
AUUGAACGCCGGCGGCGUGCUUAACACAUGCAAGUCGAACGAAGCACCUUAUUCUGAUUUCUUCGGAAUGAAAAAUUUGGUGACUGAGUGGCGGACGGGUGAGUAACGCGUGGGUAACCUGCCUCAUACAGGGGGAUAACAGUUAGAAAUGACUGCUAAUACCGCAUAAGACCACAGCACCGCAUGGUUCAGGGGUAAAAACUCCGGUGGUAUGAGAUGGACCCGCGUCUCGUUAGGUAGUUGGUGGGGUAACGGCCUACCAAGCCGACGAUCAGUAGCCGACCUGAGAGGGUGACCGGCCACAUUAUGACUGAGAAACGGCCCAAACUCCUACGGGAGGCAUCAGUGGGGAAUAUUGCACAAUGGGGGAAACCCUGAUGCAGCGACGCCGCGUGAGCGAUGAAGUAUUUCGGUAUGUAAAGCUCUAUCAGCAGUGAAUAAAAUGACGGUACCUGACUAACAAGCACCGGCUAAAUACCUGCCAGCCGCCGUAGUAAUAC